rnacentral:rRNA from 1 species
GACGAAGGAUGCAAGCGUUAUCCGGAUUCAUUGGGUUUAAAGGGAGCGUAGGUGGCCAAAUAAGUCAGUGGUGAAAUCCUGUUGCUUAACAACAGAAUUGCCAUUGAUACUGUAUGGCUUGAGUAUAGUUGCCGUUGGCGGAAUAUGACACGUAGUGGUGAAAUACAUAGAGAUGUCAUAGAACACCGAUUGCGAAGGCAGCUGACGAAACUAUAACUGACACUGAGGCUCGAAAGUGCGGGGAUCAAACAGG